UAAGGAAUAUUGGUCAAUGGGCGGAAGCCUGAACCAGCCAUGCCGCGUGCAUGAUGACUGCCCUAUGGGUUGUAAACUGCUUUUGUCCAGGAAUAAACCCAGAUACGUGUAUCUGGCUGAAUGUACUGGAAGAAUAAGGAUCGGCUAACUCCGUGCCAGCAGCCGCGGUAAUACGGAGGAUCCGAGCGUUAUCCGGAUUUAUUGGGUUUAAAGGGUGCGUAGGCGGCCAAUUAAGUCAGGGGUGAAAUACGGUGGCUCAACCAUCGCAGUGCCUUUGAUACUGAUUGGCUUGAAUCCAUUUGAAGUGGGCGGAAUAAGACAAGUAGCGGUGAAAUGCAUAGAUAUGUCUUAGAACUCCGAUUGCGAAGGCAGCUCACUAAGCUGGUAUUGACGCUGAUGCACGAAAGCGUGGGGAUCGAACA
rnacentral:rRNA from 1 species